GGUUCGAUUCUGGCUCAGAUUGAACGCUGGCGGGAUGCUUUACACAUGCAAGUCGAACGGCAGCACGGACUUCGGUCUGGUGGCGAGUGGCAGACAGGUGAGUAAUGUAUCGGAACGUGCCUAGUAGCGGGGGAUAACUACGCGAAGCUGUGUACCGCAUACGCCCUUCGGGGAAAGCGGGGGACCUUCGGGCCUCGCACUAUUAGAGCAGCCGAUAUCGGAUUAGCUAGUUG
rnacentral:misc_RNA from 1 species